rnacentral:lncRNA from 1 species
GACAUUGUUGGACUGUUCUGGCCAUGAUUUCUGGGUGUUACCCCUUUUCUACUUCUUUGCUGACAUUGACUACACUGUUACUCAUGCCCAGGUAGAGAAUAGAAUGAAAGCAACGAUGAGUAACAUGGCCCGGCUAAUUUGGAAUUCUCAAAGUGAAAGGAUCUUUCAGCACCAUAUUAUUUCUCAUAACAAUUGGUUCAUCUUAUUUUAUUUUCAAAGUAUCAAUGAAGGUUUUGCAUCAAACUCUCAGCCA